GAACGCUUCUUUCCUCCCGAGUGCUUGCACUCAAUUGGAAAGAGGAGUGGCGGACGGGUGAGUAACACGUGGGUAACCUACCCAUCAGAGGGGGAUAACACUUGGAAACAGGUGCUAAUACCGCAUAACAGUUUAUGCCGCAUGGCAUAAGAGUGAAAGGCGCUUUCGGGUGUCGCUGAUGGAUGGACCCGCGGUGCAUUAGCUAGUUGGUGAGGUAACGGCUCACCAAGGCCACGAUGCAUAGCCGACCUGAGAGGGUGAUCGGCCACACUGGGACUGAGACACGGCCCAGACUCCUACGGGAGGCAGCAGUAGGGAAUCUUCGGCAAUGGACGAAAGUCUGACCGAGCAACGCCGCGUGAGUGAAGAAGGUUUUCGGAUCGUAAAACUCUGUUGUUAGAGAAGAACAAGGACGUUAGUAACUGAACGUCCCCUGACGGUAUCUAACCAGAGAGCCACGGCUAACUACGUGCCAGCAGCCGCGGUAAUACGUAGGUGGCAAGCGUUGUCCGGAUUUAUUGGGCGUAAAGCGAGCGCAGGCGGUUUCUUAAGUCUGAUGUGAAAGCCCCCGGCUCAACCGGGGAGGGUCAUUGGAAACUGGGAGACUUGAGUGCAGAAGAGGAGAGUGGAAUUCCAUGUGUAGCGGUGAAAUGCGUAGAUAUAUGGAGGAACACCAGUGGCGAAGGCGGCUCUCUGGUC
rnacentral:rRNA from 1 species